rnacentral:rRNA from 1 species
ACUCCUACGGGAGGCAGCAGUGGGGAAUAUUGCACAAUGGGCGCAAGCCUGAUGCAGCCAUGCCGCGUGUAUGAAGAAGGCCUUCGGGUUGUAAAGUACUUUCAGCAGUGAGGAAGGUGGGUAUGUUAAUAAGCAUGCACUUCAUUUGACGUUAGCUGCAGAAGAAGCACCGGCUAACUCCGUGCCAGCAGCCGCGGUAAUACGGAGGGUGCGAGCGUUAAUCGGAAUUACUGGGCGUAAAGCGCAUGCAGGCGGCUUGUUAAGUCAGAUGUGAAAG